UGGGGAAUUUUGGACAAUGGGCGCAAGCCUGAUCCAGCCAUGCCGCGUGCGGGAAGAAGGCCUUCGGGUUGUAAACCGCUUUUGUCAGGGAAGAAAUCUUCUGAGUUAAUACCUCGGGAGGAUGACGGUACCUGAAGAAUAAGCACCGGCUAACUACGUGCCAGCAGCCGCGGUAAUACGUAGGGUGCAAGCGUUAAUCGGAAUUACUGGGCGUAAAGCGUGCGCAGGCGGUUUUGUAAGACAGAGGUGAAAUCCCCGGGCUCAACCUGGGAACUGCCUUUGUGACUGCAAGGCUUGAGUGCGGCAGAGGGGGAUGGAAUUCCGCGUGUAGCAGUGAAAUGCGUAGAUAUGCGGAGGGACACCGAUGGCGAAGGCAAUCCCCUGGGCCUGCACUGACGCUCAUGCACGAAAGCGUGGGGAGCAAACAGGAUUAGAUAGCCCCUGGUAGUCCACGCCCUAAAACGAUGUCAACUGGUUGUUGGGAAGGUUCCUUCUCAGUAACGUAGCUAACGCGUGAAGUUGACCGCCUGGGGAGUACGGCCGCAA
rnacentral:rRNA from 1 species